rnacentral:rRNA from 1 species
UACGUAGGGCGCAAGCGUUGUCCGGAAUUAUUGGGCGUAAAGAGCUCGUAGGUGGUUUGUCGCGUCUGCCGUGAAAGCCCGGGGCUUAACUCCGGGUCUGCGGUGGAUACGGGCAGAUUAGAGGCAGGUAGGGGAGAACGGAAUUCCCGGUGUAGCGGUGAAAUGCGCAGAUAUCGGGAGGAACACCGGUGGCGAAGGCGGUUCUCUGGGCCUGUACUGACGCUGAGGAGCGAAAGCGUGGGGAGCGAACAGG